rnacentral:rRNA from 1 species
AGUCACUGACAUUAGAUACCCGGGUAGUCCAGGGUGUAAACGCUGCAGACUUGGUGUUGGAAGCCCUUUGGGGCAUUCAGUGCCGGAGAGAAGUUGUUAAGUCUGCUACUUGGGGAGUACGUCCGCAAGGAUGAAACUUAAAGGAAUUGGCGGGGAGCACCGCAACGGGAGGAGCGUGCGGUUUAAUUGGAUUCAACACCGUAAAACUCACCAGGGAAGACUGUUACAUGAAAGCCGAGAUGAAGACUCUGCUAGAUUUUCAG